rnacentral:rRNA from 1 species
UACGUAGGGUGCAAGCGUUGUCCGGAAUUAUUGGGCGUAAAGAGCUCGUAGGCGGUCUGUCGCGUCGGCUGUGAAAUCCCGAGGCUCAACCUCGGGUCUGCAGUCGAUACGGGCAAACUAGAGUAUUGCAGGGGAGACUGGAAUUCCUGGUGUAGCGGUGAAAUGCGCAGAUAUCAGGAGGAACACCGGUGGCGAAGGCGGGUCUCUGGGCAUUAACUGACGCUGAGGAGCGAGAGCAUGGGGAGCGAACAGG